rnacentral:rRNA from 1 species
GAUGAACGCUGACGGCGUGCCUAAUACAUGCAAGUCGAGCGAACGGACGAGAAGCUUGCUUCUCUGAUGUUAGCGGCGGACGGGUGAGUAACACGUGGAUAACCUACCUAUAAGACUGGGAUAACUUCGGGAAACCGGAGCUAAUACCGGAUAAUAUUUUGAACCGCAUGGUUCAAAAGUGAAAGACGGUCUUGCUGUCACUUAUAGAUGGAUCCGUGUUGCAUUAGCUAGUUGGUAAGGUAACGGCUUACCAAGGCAACGAUGCAUAGCCGACCUGAGAGGGUGAUCGGCCACACUGGAACUGAGACACGGUCCAGACUCCUACGGGAGGCAGCAGUAGGGAAUCUUCCGCAAUGGGCGAAAGCCUGACGGAGCAACGCCGCGUGAGUGAUGAAGGUCUUCGGAUCGUAAAACUCUGUUAUUAGGGAAGAACAUAUGUGUAAGUAACUGUGCACAUCUUGACGGUACCUAAUCAGAAAGCCACGGCUAACUACGUG